rnacentral:rRNA from 1 species
AGCAGCCGCGGUAAUUCCAGCUCCAAUAGCGUAUAUUAAAGUUGUUGCAGUUAAAAAGCUCGUAGUUGAAUUUCGAGAUCAGUACGCUGGUCGUGCCUUCGGUAUGUACUGGUGUCACUGGUUUCUCCCUUCUGAAGAACCGUUAUGUCAUUAAGUUGGUGUGGCGGGGAAUCAGGACUGUUACUUUGAAAAAAUUAGAGUGUUUAAAGCAGGCUCGCGCUUGAAUACAUUAGCAUGGAAUAAUGAAAUAGGACGUUUGACCCUAUUUUGUUGGUUUCUAGGAUCGACGUAAUGAUUAAUAGGGAUAGUUGGGGGCAUUAGUAUUCAAUUGUCAGAGGUGAAAUUCUUGGAUUUAUUGAAGACUAACUACUGCGAAAGCAUUUGCCAAGGAUGUUUUCAUUAAUCAAGAACGAAAGUUAGGGGAUCGAAGACGAUCAGAUACCGUCGUAGUCCUAACCAUAAACUAUGCCGACUAGGGAUCGGAUGAUGUUAAUUUUUAAUGAUCAUUCGGCGCCUUAAC